rnacentral:pre_miRNA from 1 species
GGUCACGUGACCCCCCCAGGUCAGGUGACCCCCCGAGGUCACGUGACCUACUGGGGCCACGUGACCUACGGGGGUCACGUGACCUCGGGGGGUCACCUGACCUGGGGGGGUCACGUGA